rnacentral:misc_RNA from 1 species
AAGUCGUAACAAGGUCUCCGUAGGUGAACCUGCGGAGGGAUCAUUAAACGAAACAAACCCUCCCCUCGGGCUCCGGCUCGGGUGGAGGGCCCAGUCUCAAACCCUUUGUCGUCCGACUAUGUUGCCUCGGGGGAGACCCUGCCCUCGGGCGGGUGGCACCCCGGUGGACCAAACCAAACUCUUGCGUAACUUGCAGUCUGAGUCGAUUUAAAAAUAAUCAAAA